rnacentral:rRNA from 1 species
AACGAACGCUGGCGGCAGGCCUAACACAUGCAAGUCGAACGAACCGUUUACGGUGAGUGGCGCACGGGUGAGUAACACGUGGGAAUAAACAUUUCGGUAAGGAAUAACGUAGAGAAAUUUACGCUAAUACCUUAUAAUGACUACGGUCCAAAGAUUUAUCGCCGAAGGAUUAGCCCGCGUUAGAUUAGGUAGUUGGUAGGGUAAUGGCCUACCAAGCCUACGAUCUAUAGCUGGUCUUAGAGGAUGAUCAGACACAAUGGAACUGAGACACGGUCCAGACUCCUACGGGAGGCAGCAGUGAGGAAUAUUGCGCAUGGGGGAAACCCUGACGCAGCCAUGCCGCGUGAGUGACGAAGGCCUUAGGGUUGUAAAGCUCUUUCAGAUGUAAAGAUAAUGACGGUAACAUCAGAAGAAGCUCCGGCUAAAUUCGUGCCAGCAGCCGCCGUAA